UACGAAGGGGGCUAGCGUUGUUCGGAAUUACUGGGCGUAAAGGGUGCGUAGGCGGCGGGGCAAGUCUGAUGUGAAAUCCCGGGGCUCAACCCCGGAACUGCAUUGGAUACUGCCUUGCUAGAGUACUGGAGAGGGAACUGGAAUUUACGGUGUAGCAGUGAAAUGCGUAGAGAUCGUAAGGAAGGCCAGUGGCGAAGGCGGUGAGCUGGGCAGUUGCUGACACUGAGGCGCGACAGCGUGGGGAGCAAACAGG
rnacentral:rRNA from 1 species